rnacentral:rRNA from 1 species
UACGUAGGGUCCGAGCGUUGUCCGGAGUUACUGGGCGUAAAGCGCGCGCAGGUGGUUCACUAAGCCCGGCGUGAAAGCCCCCGGCUCAACCGGGGAGGGUCGUCGGGGACUGGUGAACUUGAGGGCGGCAGGGGCUGGUGGAAUCCCCGGUGUAGUGGUGAAAUGCGUAGAGAUCGGGGGGGAACACCCGUGGCGAAGGCGGCCAGCUGGGCCGUCCCUGACACUGAGGCGCGAAGGCGUGGGGAGCGAACGGG